UACGUAGGGUGCAAGCGUUGUCCGGAAUUAUUGGGCGUAAAGAGCUCGUAGGCGGUUUUGAAAGUCGGGUGUGAAACCUCCAGGCUCGACCUGGAGACGCCACUCGAUACUUCAAUGACUUGAGUUCGGUAGGGGGUAAGCGGAAUUCCUGGUGUAGCGGUGAAAUGCGUAGAUAUCGAGAGGAACACCAGAGGUGAAGACGGGUUGCUGGGCCGACACUGACGCUGAGGAGCGAAAGCGUGGGGAGCGAACAGG
rnacentral:rRNA from 1 species